GCGGACAUAGUUCAGUUGGCAGAACGACACCUUGCCAAGGCGCAGGUCGCCGGUUCGAAUCCGGCUGUCCGCUCCA
rnacentral:tRNA from 1 species